UGUUUUCUUUGGUGACUCGGGGAGAAUGCAGUCAGGGAAAGUUCCAGAAAAUCAGCAUGUCAGGGUGUGGAGGAGUAUCAGCCAUGGGAAACUGAUUUGUGCUGACCAAGCUCAUGGGAGUCAGUAUACAUUCUAAGAAUAGAUUUAUACACAUAAACACACAGGUCUUCCCUCUGCUAACUCAUUCUCCAAAUGGCUGCCAAGACUGAAGCUGUGCUGGUCCGAAGCCAGGCACCAGGAGUUUCUUCUCAGUCUUCCACAUGGGUACAGGGGCUUAAGCACCUCAGCCAUCUUUUGCUGCUUUCCCAGGCUCUAAUAAGGAGUUGUUCUGAGUGAAACAGCUGGAAUUCAAACUGGGUGCCACAGGCUGCAGCUUUACCCACUAUACCACAGCACUGGCCCAUUGGUAUCUUUUUUGAAAAAAAUUGGUAAAAAAAUUAGAUUAUUAAUCUUUGGAAUUCCUGUUUUACCCUCAUGGGCUACUGUUCUUCCAAGGAGUAUAUUUUGAUGUGGCACUGAUUGUUGCAGAUCCUCACAAUGUUGUGUGCAGACGGUGAGGGCACAUAAGCUGAUUUUGUAGGGUACAUCAAAGAGCAUUUUGAGUGUUAAUGUGUCGCAUAAUGGAAUUGCUACAUCGAGCCUAUGAUUUCGUGGAUAUUGUAGCUUAUGAUAAGGUUAUUCUUGAUUUAAAGAAAACAUUGCGUAGAUAAUACUGCAGGUAGGACAUAGAUAAGUAGGGAAAUU